CCUUGGUGCAACCAAAGACGGUCCAGAGAUGUUCAUGGUAGAGGUUAGUGUUGUGUAGUGUUCAAGAGCCUAAUGGCUGCAGGGAAGAGGCUGUUCUUGAACCUGGUGUUCACGGUUUUCAGGCUCCUGUGCAGUUAAAGGAACAAAGAAGAUUACACAGUUCCCGAUGGUAGCAGUGAAAUUAGAGCGAGGCCUGGGACUUGGAUGACAUUGGCUACCUUAUUGAGGCAGCACCUACUGUAGAUCCCUUCGAUGUUGGGGAGGUCAUGUGCUGGAAAUUCAA